rfam:Gossypium raimondii Chr13_contig_49, whole genome shotgun sequence.
CAUUAAAACUUUCAUCCAAUUCUACUGUUAAAAACCAGCAUGAUUGACGAAAUAACCAGAUAACACGUGACAUGUCACGUGUGCCUCAUUCUGAGUAUAGUGACUAGUUUUUAAUAGUAGAAAUGGAGAGAUUUUUUAACA